GAUGAACGCUAGCUACAGGCUUAACACAUGCAAGUCGAGGGGAAACGACAUCGAAAGCUUGCUUUUGAUGGGCGUCGACCGGCGCACGGGUGAGUAACGCGUAUCCAACCUGCCCAUCACUUGGGAAUAACCUUGCGAAAGUAAGACUAAUACCCAAUGAUAUCCCACGAAGGCAUCGGAAUGGGAUUAAAGAUUUAUCGGUGAUGGAUGGGGAUGCGUCUGAUUAGCUUGUUGGCGGGGUAACGGCCCACCAAGGCAACGAUCAGUAGGGGUUCUGAGAGGAAGGUCCCCCACAUUGGAACUGAGCCACGGUCCAAACUCCUACGGGAGGCAGCAGUGAGGAAUAUUGGUCAAUGGGCGAGAGCCUGAACCAGCCAAGUAGCGUGCAGGAAGACGGCCCUAUGGGUUGUAAACUGCUUUUAUAAGGGAAUAAAGUGGGUCACGUGUGACUUUUUGCAUGUACCUUAUGAAUAAGGACCGGCUAAUUCCGUG
rnacentral:rRNA from 1 species